rnacentral:rRNA from 1 species
CAAUUGAAUCUGGCUUCGGCCCGAGUUGUAAUUUGUAGAGGAUGCUUUUGGUGAGGUGCUUCUGAGUUCCUGGAACGGGACGCCAGAGAGGGUGAGAGCCCCGUAUAGUCGGCCACCGAUCCUUUGUAAAGCUCCUUCGACGAGUCGAGUAGUUUGGGAAUGCUGCUCAAAAUGGGAGGUAUAUCUCUUCUAAAGCUAAAUAUUGGCCAGAGACCGAUAGCGCACAAGUAGAGUGAUCGAAAGAUGAAAAGCACUUUGAAAAGAAGGGUUAAAUAGUACGUGAAAUUGUUGAAAGGGAAGCGCUUGUGACCAGACUUGUGCCGGGGCUGAUCAUCCAGUGUUCUCACUGGUGCACUCUGCCCAGGCUCAGGCCAGCGUCGGUUCUCGCAGGUGGACAAAAGCUUCGGGACAGUGGCUCCUCCGGGAGUGUUAUAGCCCGUUGCUCAAUACACUUGUGGGGACCGAGUUAGCGCUCUGC